AUCAAGUGGUAGAGCCCUCGACAUAUGAAGAAGCAAUUAACCCUGGGCUCCUCCCGAACCUAUCUAGCUUGAGUAUGAUGGAAAGUCCUCUACCCUUGUUCCAAUUUCAAUAGAGAUUCAAUUGCGAUUUUAUUGAUUUCCUAUCUUACCAUCACAAGCUUGCUUCACCACAACUCUAUAGACAGUUUAACACCCUAUCAUGCUUGGGUUGAUUGAUCUUUCUGUCCUUAUAUUUAUGAUCUUCCAUUGAUUAGAACCUGUUAUUUCGUCUAAUUAAAUAGAUGUCUGGGUUUAUGAAAGUGGUAGCUCGGUCUUCAGACGGGUAUUUUCUAUUCCCAUAGAUUAGCUUUCCAGACUGACUGGAUUCAUAGCUCAUCGACAGCAAGCAGUGGUACGAACUUCAUCAGCGCAUGAUAAGCAAGCAGUCUUAGUGGCGGACUUCCUCUUUCAAGGAAUGUUUGCGGAUUAUCGUAAAAGAGGAGAUACAGAGCCUCAAAAAAAAUCACAUCAAGCUAAGUGCAAACAGGUGUUCAACAAUCAAGAUCACAAGAAGAUGCUCGAGCCAAGUCAUAUAGUGGAUGCAGAAGAGGUACCAAGGCAAUAACAACGAUGAUCCUCCUGAACAAGGCGCCUUUUAUUCAGCUUCAUAUUAGGGUCGCCGAUACUCCUCGGUACCCUCUUGUCCUGGAGCCGGUGGAAAAGGGUGGAAUUUCCUAAUCCCGUGUCCAAGUAGGCUCAGUUUAGAUUUACAUAAUAAGGGUUUUGAGAUUGACUUAGUCUAUUCAGUGAAUAGGCGGAUCGAACUCAAAGCAAGGUGUAAAGCGGUAAGGCAUUACGCUGUGGUCAAUCUUCAGAUAUAGAGUAGGUACCGAACCGGAGUCAGAGUGAACAGCGGUAUUUCAUUCAGUCAGCUUGGCUUUUCUCCACGUUUGCUCAUGUCGAGUAAUAGAACAGGACUCAUGAUUCUUCCAUGUGCUCUAUACGGGAAAGGUUGCAUUUUCGAUUUAUCCUUUUCUUCCAAGGAUUUCAUAAUUGGACGUUGAACCCAUUUCAUAUGAUGGGAGUUGCCGGAGUAUUAGGCGCAGCUCUGCUAUGCGCUAUCCAUGGGGCUACCGUAGAAAACACUCUAUUCGAAGAUGGUGAUGGUGCAAAUACCUUCCGCGCUUUUAACCCAACUCAAGCUGAAGAAACGUAUUCAAUGGUCACUGCUAACCGCUUUUGGUCCCAAAUCUUUGGUGUUGCUUUUUCCAAUAAACGUUGGUUACAUUUCUUUAUGCUAUUUGUACCCGUCACCGGUUUAUGGAUGAGUGCUAUUGGCGUAGUUGGCCUGGCUCUGAACCUACGUGCCUAUGACUUUGUUUCCCAGGAAAUCCGUGCAGCGGAAGAUCCUGAAUUUGAGACUUUCUACACCAAAAAUAUUCUUUUAAACGAGGGUAUUCGUGCGUGGAUGGCAGCUCAGGAUCAGCCUCAUGAAAAUCUUAUAUUCCCUGAGGAGGUUCUACCACGUGGAAACGCUCUUUAAUGGAACUUUCGUUUUA